rnacentral:rRNA from 1 species
GAUGAACGCUGGCGGCGUGCCUAAUACAUGCAAGUCGAGCGAACAGACGAGGAGCUUGCUCCUCUGACGUUAGCGGCGGACGGGUGAUUAACACGUGGAUAACCUACCUAUAAGACUGGGAUAACUUCGGGAAACCGGAUCUAAUACCGGAUAAUAUAUUGAACCGCAUGGUUCAAUAGUGAAAGACGGUUUUGCUGUCACUUAUAGAUGGAUCCGCGCCGCAUUAGCUAGUUGGUAAGGUAACGGCUUACCAAGGCAACGAUGCGUAGCCGACCUGAGAGGGUGAUCGGCCACACUGGAACUGAGACACGGUCCAGACUCCUACGGGAGGCAGCAGUAGGGAAUCUUCCGCAAUGGGCGAAAGCCUGACGGAGCAACGCCGCGUGAGUGAUGAAGGUCUUCGGAUCGUAAAACUCUGUUAUUAGGGAAGAACAAAUGUGUAAGUAACUAUGCACGUCUUGACGGUACCUAAUCAGAAAGCAACGGCUAACUACGUG